GACUCGUCACACUAUCAUUAACUGAAUCCAUAGGUUAAUGAGGCGAACCGGGGGAACUGAAACAUCUAAGUACCCCGAGGAAAAGAAAUCAACCGAGAUUCCCCCAGUAGCGGCGAGCGAACGGGGAGGAGCCCAGAGCCUGAAUCAGCAUGUGUGUUAGUGGAAGCGUCUGGAAAGGCGCGCGAUACAGGGUGACAGCCCCGUACACAAAAGCGCAUGUGCUGUGAGCUCGAUGAGUAGGGCGGGACACGUGGUAUCCUGUCUGAAUAUGGGGGGACCAUCCUCCAAGGCUAAAUACUCCUGACUGACCGAUAGUGAACCAGUACCGUGAGGGAAAGGCGAAAAGAACCCCGGCGAGGGGAGUGAAAAAGAACCUGAAACCGUGUACGUACAAGCAGUGGGAGCACA
rnacentral:rRNA from 1 species